UUACGGCCAUAUCACGUUGAAACACCGGUUCCCGUAAAUCACUAAAGUUAAGCAACAUUGAGCCGGGUCAGUACCGAGAGGGUUGACCGGUUGGGAAUACCAGCUGCUGUAAG